rnacentral:lncRNA from 1 species
GAACCUUUCAGAUGGUGUCAGCGAGUUUAACCAGGAUCGGCUAAGGAGACAUAUUGAGGAAGGAAAUGACUUGCAUCCUGGACUUGCAUCAGUUCUGAGUGACUUGUGGAAGAGAUGAUGAUGAUGUUGUUGAUGAUGAUGAUGGCGUCAGCGAGUUUAACCAGGAUCGAGUAAGGAGAUAUAUUGAGGAAGGAAAGGACUUGCAUCCUGGACUUGCAUCAGUUCUGACUGACUUGUGGAAGAGAUGAUGAUGAUUUUGAUGAUGAUGAUGAUUAUGAUGAUGGCGUCAGCGAGUUUAACCAGGAUCGAGUAAGGAGACAUAUUGAGGAAGGAAAGGACUUGCAUCAGUUCUGACUGACUUGUGGAAGAGAUUAUGAUGAUGUUGAUGAUGAUGAUGAUGAUGACGAUGAUGGCGUCAGCGAGUUUAACCAGGAUUGAGUAAUGAGACAUAUUGAGGAAGGAAAGGACUUGCAUCAGUUCUAACUGACUUGUGGAAGAGAUGAUGAUGAUGUUGAUGAUGAUGAUGACGAUGAUGGUAAUGAUAAUAAUAAUAAAUGAUGAUGAUGAUGUUUAUGAUGCUGCUGCUGCUGCUGAUGAUGAUGAUGAUGAUGAUGAUCGUGUCAGCGAGUUUAACCAGGAUCGAGUAAGGAGACAUAUUGAGGAAGGAAAGGACUUGCAUCAGUUCUGACUGACUUGUGGAAGAGAUGAUGAUGAUGUUGAUGAUGAUGAUGAUGAUGAUGGCGUAAGCGAGUUUAACCAGGAUCGAGUAAGGAGAUAUAUUGAGGAAGGAAAGGACUUGCAUCCUGGACUUGCAUAGUUCUGACUGACUUGUGGAAGAGAUGAUGAUGAUGUUGAUGUUGAUGAUGAUGAUGAUGGCGUCAGCGAGUUUAACCAGGAUCGAGUAAGGAGACAUAUUGAGGAAGGAAAGGACUUGCAAACGAAAAUGUCGUUAAACAUUGUAAUGAGCUAAACACGUGUACAGUUUUUUUGUUGUUGUUGUUAUAUAUUGCCUCAAUGUUUAUUUCGGGGAAUGAAAUAUAUGAUUGUCCUUUUACCACAGAUUUCCUUACUGAAAUAUAUAUUUCACCUUAUUCACUGCAUGGGGUAUCCAUCUAGUAUAGUUUUGCACUGUCCGAUGUUCUUGAUCUAUUACCAAUCAUAUACAU